rnacentral:rRNA from 1 species
CAAUAGCGUAUAUUAAAGUUGUUGCAGUUAAAAAGCUCGUAGUUGGAUUUGUGGCGUACGGUGUGUUCCGGGCACUUGUUGUCUGAGUAACCUGCUGUUGCCAUCCUUGGGUGGAACCUGUGUGGCAUUAGGUUGUCGUGUAGGGGAUGCCCAUCAUUUACUGUGAAAAAAUUAGAGUGUUCAAAGCAGGCUUAUGCCGUUGAAUAUAUUAGCAUGGAAUAAUGAGAUAGGACUUUUUUGCUAUUUUGUUGGUUUGCGCAAAGAGGUAAUGAUUAAUAGGGACAGUUGGGGGUAUUCGUAUUCCAUAGUCAGAGGUGAAAUUCUUGGAUUUUUGGAAGACGAACUACUGCGAAAGCAUUUACCAAGGAUGUUUUCAUUAA